AUGGACGUACCACCUUAUUUUGAGAGGACCGAUGGAUCGACAGGCGCUCAAGUCAGCAAGAUCGCACCACAGCUUUACGCCUGCAUCUCGAAACGCUGCCGGAAACUGAGGACCGUCUCUGAUGGGCUUCAGGCUAACGCUUGGGCUCACGACAUCCAUGGCACGCCGGGUGUUCACGAUAUCGGCCAGUACAUCCAGCUCUGGCACGCCGUUGGGCAAACCAUCCUGACCACGGAACCCGAUCGCCUCCUAUGGAAGUGGACUGCGAGCAGAUCUUACUCUGCGAAAUCCUGCCAUCAGGCCACAUUCGAGGGUUCUCUGCAAAAUCCUGCUACCAGACCACACAUUCCAGGCAGCUCCUGGAAGUUCAUUUGGAAGAACGGGGCGCCCCCUCGGGUGCGCUUCUUCCACUGGCUCGCUGAUCAGCACCAGUGUUGGACUGCUGAGAGCCUCGCACGCUGCGGCCUUCAGCACCACACUUCAUGCCUCCUCUGCUGCCAGAGCACCAAGACGAUGCACCACCUGCUGCUGUGCUGUCCGUUUCCCAAACAGGUUGGCAGCAGAUGCUUCCCGGGCUCUGCAUGUCUUGCACGCCGCCAGACCAUGAUACUUCCCUUCUGGACUGGUAGCACGCUGCAAAACAGCGCACCCCGCAUCCCAUGCGCAAGGGCCUCGCCUCCAUUGCCUUGCUCACACCAUGGAUGA
rnacentral:rRNA from 1 species